GAUCUGCCUGAAUUCUGUCUGUUGGUGAAACAAAACAGAUCUGUGAGGAGGCAGGAAUGACAGUCCUGGCCUUUUCAGGCUCUGACUAUGUGCAUCUUGUGUAUCAGCUGAAAACAAAGUUCCAAUCACUGUUUACAUUGUAAGGGCAUUGAUGAAACUGUCUUUCUUAUAUAACUAGCUCUUUUAGAAUCAGGUCAGGCUACCUGGGGUGGUGGGAGGUUUUUUUUUUUCUCCUUCAUGCUCUACUUCUAAUGUAGCUUUUUAAACCUUUUGUAUUUUUUUAAAAACUUCAGAUCACUCUUGUUUAUUGUUUUCUGGAAAAUACUGUUUCUCAGUUAAUGCCUGAAAUUCCCAUUCAUCUCCUAUAAACAGAGGGAUCAUUUCACCAUUUAAAAUUAAGAUUUAAUGUCUUUUUGGCUUUAACUUACAAGGAUGUAGUGAGAUAGGUUGCACGCUAUUUUCUAUUUACUUAAAUUCAUUUAAAAUUCAUAUUUACUGAUUGCAUCUGAGUUCUAAAUACCAGCCAUUUAUAGCAACCACGGGCUAAUAUGACUUGUGAGAAGCAUGCUAUCCUCUGAAUGGCAGGGACAUGUUAUCUAUUUUAAAUUCAUAUUUUAAUUGUGUAUGUAGAACUCUCCAAAAACCUGUAAUCUGGACUUGGUUUUAGAACCACCCCUGAAAGUUUUCAUAUUGGUUUCAUGUUAAUAGUAUUGUGGGGUGCAUAAUUAUACCCCAUCUUGCACCUUUGAAACCAGCUAUACAACCUUGUUUAUUGAACAUUUUGUUUUUUUCUGUCUAGAAGGGGGGAUUGCAAGAUGCUUGCAUUCGACUGUUUGAAAAAAAGCACCACGUUAUUGUAAUUGAAUAAUCAUCUAAGAAGGCACUGUGUAGGAUCAGCAGACCAUGAAUUGACCGCGGGAAAGAAUCUGAGUGGUGAAGAUGGUGAAGCUAAGAAGUGAUCUGAUGACAAAGAUAAUUGCUUGACGAAGGUCACUUUGAUGGAUUCAGCUUAUGUUUCUCUGUAUUGGACUCUAAAAACUGGAAGACCACCUCCUGCUUCAGUGGGCUCUGCCAUUUUGUGUUUCCAGAGGAGACAAGUGCAGUUGAUGGUGCUCUCUUAUGAACACCUUACUUUUGUUCUCUUGUUUAGUUGUUUUUUUAAUCUAAA